ensembl:misc_RNA Metazoa_SRP Metazoan signal recognition particle RNA
GCUGGGUGCAAUGGCAUGCACCUGUAGUCCUAGUUACCAGGAGGCUGAGGCAGGAGGAUAACUUGAGCCCAGGAGUUUGAAGUUACAGUGAGCUAUUACCAUGCCACUGUACUAUAGUCUGGGCAACAGAGUAAGAUCCUGUGUCAA